UGACCGCAAGUUGGGUUCUAGAUGAAGAACUGCUAUGGAAAUAUUCUACCCGAGAGCUUCACGAGAUAACAAGAUACGAUGCCAUCGAUCCCCCAUCUCACUCAAAAUCUCAGAGCAUUCUGUAGAGAAGGUCGCUUGAAGCAGGCUCAACACAUUUUGCUUACUAUCCAUAACACUUCUGUAUAUUCGUCUACAUAUCUUCAUAUAUUACCUGCUUUCUCUGCCCACAAAACAUUUACAGAGGGUCAGCAAAUCCACUCUCAAAUCAAUGACAGAGGAUAUACGUUUGCCACAAACACAUUUUGGCAAAACAGACUUAUUAACAUGUAUGACAAGUGCGGAAGUUUGGUGGAUGCUCGCCAAGUUUUCAAUCACAUGAAUGAACGAGAUGUGUUCACAUGGAAUAUGAUAAUUGCAGGUUACCAAAGAAAUGGAAUUCCUUGGGAAGCAUUCACACUGUUUAACCAAAUGCAACGAACUUUGGUUCAACCGGAUCAUUUCACCUUCUCCACUCUGCUCCCUGUAUGCACCAACGCAUCGUCUCUUAAACAUGGUUUGCAGAUACAUGGAAGAAUCAUCAGAUGUGGAUUUCAAUUUGACGUGAUUGUGAUGAAUACCCUGAUAGACAUGUAUGCAAAAUGUGGAAGGAUGCAGAGGGCACUUGAACUGUUUGACAAAAUGCCUAAACGAGACGCUGUUUCAUUUAUUGCAAUUAUUUCUGGAUUUACACAAAUCGGGCUAGCUAAACAAGCCCUGGGAAUAUUCAGGCAAAUGCAAUCGGGAGGGAUAAAGCCAAACUCGGCAACCUUUGCCAGUAUAGUCUCAGUGUGUGCUAGGAUGGAAGCUUUGGAUCAGGGUAGGGAAAUCCAUCAAAAAUUAAUCGAAAAUGGACUUUUGUCAAAUGUUGUUGCAGUCACGGCCCUUGUAGAUAUGUAUGCAAAAUGUGGAAGCAUACAGAAGGCACAAGGAUUGUUUGAUGAAAUGCCUCAACGAGAUGCAACCUCAUGGAAUGUAAUGAUUGGAGGAUAUACACAUAAUGGGCUUGUUGAUGAAGCUUUGGGUAUUUAUAGGCAGGUACAAGUGGCUGGUGUAAAGCCAAACUCAACAAUAUUUGCUAGCUUCCUCCCAGCAUGUGCACAAGCAGAAGCUUUGGAACAGGGUAUGGAAAUCCAUCAAAAAAUAAUCAAAUGCGGAUUUUUGUCGACAGUUAUAGUCGCAAAUGCCCUGCUAGACAUGUAUGCAAAAUGUGGAAGCAUACAGAAAGUAACUCAAUUGUUCGACAAGAUGCAUCAACGAGAUCUGGCCUCAUGGAAUGAAAUAAUUGUAGCACAUGCACAAAAUAGACUCUUUAACAAAUCCUUGGAGUUUUUUAGACGAAUGCAAUUGGCAAGUAUAAAGUCAGAUUCGUCAACCUUUGCAAGCAUCCUUACAGCUUGUACAAAACUUGGAGUUUUAGUGCAAGGUAUGCAAAUCCACCAAAAAGUUAUCAAAACUGGAUUUUUGUCGGAUGUUGUCGUUGUGACUGCCCUGAUAGAUAUCUAUGCAAAAUGUGGCAGCAUACAGAAGGCACACGAAUUGUUUGACAAUAUGUCAAGUCGAGAUGUGGCUUCAUGGAAUGCAAUAAUUGUAGGAUAUGCACAAAAUGGGCUUGUCGACAAAGCCUUGGAUAUUUUCAAGCAAAUACAAUUGGCAGGUUUAAAGCCAGAUUCGGUAACCUAUGCCAGUGUCCUCCCAGCUUUCGCAAAAAUUGGAGCUUUAGAGCAAGGUAUGGUAAUCCAUCAAAAAAUAAUAAAAAAUGGGUUUUUUGAAGAUGCAAUCAUGAAUUCCCUGAUAGACAUGUAUGCCAAAUGUGCAAGUGUACGGAAGGCACGUGUGUUGUUUGACAAAAUGCCUCAAAAAAGUGUUAUUUCAUGGACAGCAAUGAUUGCAGGAUGUGCAAUGCAUGGAUAUAGCAAGGAUUCCCUCGAACUCUUUGAACUAAUGAAGCACUCUGGAACUGACCCGAACCAUGUAACCUUUCUUUGUAUAUUAUUUGCAUGUAGUCAUGCAGGUCUAGUGGACAGCGCCUGUAAGUACUUCAAUUGCAUGAGUGAUUCUUAUUGUAUAAUGCCUACAAUGGAUCAUUAUGUAUGUAUGGUUGAUCUCCUUGGCCGUGCUGGCUAUCUUGAGCAAGCCUUAAACUUUAUCAUCAAAAUACCAUUACAAAACGAUGUGGAUGUGUGGAUGUGUUUGCUUGGCGCUUGUAGAUCACAUAAGAAUAUAGAGCUAGGAGAGUAUGUAGCAACACUUCUAUUUGAGUUAGAUCCUAAAAAUGCUGCUCCUUAUGUUCUUUGGUCCAACAUUUAUGCAGAAGCAGGCAGGUGGCGUGAUGUUCAUAAGGUAAGGAAAUUGAUGAAAGAGAGAGGAAUUAGAAAGUUGCCCGGAUGUAGUUGGAUUGAAGUCCACAAAAUGGUACAUGCUUUUUGUGUAGAAGACAGGUUAGACCUACGAAACGGAAGAUGCAUCUGAAGUUGGAAAAAUAGUCAUGAGAUAAGGCAUCAACGUAAAUUCAAGAUAGAAGAUUUGUGCUGAAUGAUGUGGAGGAGAAGAAUAUACUCCUCUGGGACCAUAGUGAGAAGGUAGCAAUUGCAUUUGGAUGUUAAACACGUCCUGUAGAACAUGUUUUAGAACUGUCAAGAACAUCUAAGGUUGUUGCAAGAGAAAUUUUGUGAGAGAUGAUAACCAUUCCAUUAUUUUAAACACAGGUGAUGUUCUUGUGGAAAAUUAAUAAGGCAAGCUUCAUACACUGGCUUGUACUGUAAGAAAGUGCAUUCUAUCAGACUUGUAAUGUCAGGAAGGAAUCAGUUUACAUGUUCAUUUCCUGAAGGAAAGUUGUUUAUGCAUUUUUGGAAGUUUGUAGAGCUCUGGAGUAGAAGCUGGAGAAUGGGGAAUAAGAAUAGGAAAUGCAGAAAAACAGAGGCAUGUUGAAGGAAAAGGAAAGUUGCUCAGCUAGAAAGAAGUAUUAGAACGAUUUACAUUCAAGUCAGUGGUUGGAUUUGAUGAGGACAGUAUCUCUGAAAGGUUCUUAACUCUAACAUUAUUCAUUUAGUAUGUUUUUAUUUUGCCUAAAAUAAUUAUGUUAUCUUGUGCAUAUCAAACUACCAUUUAAGCUGAUUAAUAUUUGUCCAAGUUGAAAUCGUAUCAUUUAUGGUGUAAUGCCCCUCCCUCGGUCAAACUCCGUUUAACUUAGUUUGACUAUGGUUGAUUUCUUUAGUGGUUUAUGUGUUAUUAUGGACUCUUUGGUAGAUUUGAAUGAACUCCCUUGUUUUUGGCAUCAUGAGUCCUUGUUUUGACUUUUGGAUCUUGUCUUUCAUUGUGGGGAUACUCACUUUUGGAUCUUGUCUUUCAUUGUGGGGAUACUCAGAUGUGUAGUUUUAUGUAUUUGAAUUCCAAAGGCUUAGGAAGGGAGUUUUUGGAUUCUUUAUUGUAUAGUCAUGCUUCUCUUUUGAUGUUAAGAGUUCAAGCCUUGAAUGAUUUUGAAGCUAGAUGGUGUUUCCUAGCCUGCUUGGGAUACUCCUUGUAUGUUAUCUUACUCUAGCAAGAGAGUCGAGCCUUGCUAUGGUAUUUUGGUGUCUUACCAUCCUGUGACUUCCGGUUUGACCUUUGGUAUUGCUUGGAUUUCUAGGUGCAAUCUUGGGGGAGUGGUUUUCAUUGGGGUUCGGGACCCAAAGUGAUCGCUAGAGUAACUCAAUGAGAGGUUUGGUAAUCAAGUGAAAACAUAAUAUAAUGAAUUGGGAUGGGUAGUUAACUCACAUUAAUAAAGAGUAAUUUUUGUUGCCUAUCUUAUGCUCAGGUGCUUGUUUAGGGCUGAGGUAAGUAGAGAAGGGCCUAGAAUAGCUUCCACCAAUCUUGUCCUUUCGAAAGGUUGGUGUGGUUCACUAGUGUUUGUAUGGGGGCUAGGGGUUGGGAGAGGUCACCAGGGCAACCCAAGAUGGGGGUCAAGACCUAGUGAAGACCUACCAUGGUAACUCAUGACAACCUAGUGAUGACACUCUUCUCUAUUGCUACCUAGUGGUAACUUGCAUCUUUUAUUCUCCUGUGGAUUUCUUGAGCCUUUGGAAGAUGGUUGUUUUAUUUUAAGCCUUGUGAGUCUCUUGUGGUUAAGUCUUGAGAGUUUCUCUUGUGUGUCUUGUUGGUUCUCUUUCUGAUUGCUUCCGCCUUAUGGGUCUGGCUGAUACCUCCUAGCAUGGGGGGUGGACCUUAUGGUACUACAUGGUUGGGUGGAGUGGUAUUCACACCCAUUGGGUUUUGGCCCGUCUUGGUUCAUGUACGAAGAGGCUCGUGAGAAGAUUGAAGACUUUUUUAUGUACCAAAUUCAUGUAUUCAUCCCACCUUGGGACUCUUGGAGAUUGUAUCUUUAUGGGUCCAUUGUAAUGUACUUGAUGUUCAUAUGUAUAUUCUCAAGCAAUGUAAAAUGUAUCUUGUACCUAUGUAAAUGAACAAUGUUGUUAA